GGAACUUUCCAACUUGAGAAAAAAACCUACAAAUCUUUGGAGGUUCUGAAGGAAUAAGUGAGGUAUUUAAGGGACUUAGAGUAUGAGACUUGAAGGAAAUCCAUAUGGGAUUAAAGUCUCUGUCCUCAGACAAACAUUAAUGACAAACUGGCAGUAAUCUAAGCCUAAUUCUACACUGUGUCCAGUCAUCAUUGAGAAGAGUCAACAGAUAAAAGGAUUAGGGUUAGGUUAGGUCUAGGGUUAGGGUUGCUGUUAGGGAUUAGGAUUAGGAUUAGCAUUAGUGGUUAGGGUUAGGGGUUAAAGAAUAGCUCAGUGGGUAAUAACACUGACUGCUCUAACGAAGGUCCUGAGUUCAAUCCCAGUAACCACAUGGUGGCUCACAACCAUCUGUAAUGAGAUAUGACACCCUCUUCUGGUGUGUCUGAAGACAGCUACAGUGUACUUAGAUAUAAGUUAUAAUAAAUAGAUAAUUAGAUAAUAAGGGUUAGGGGUUAGGAAUAGGCUCAAACACAUUCACUUUUGUGUGGCAAAUUUUGUAAAGUGUUUGAAAGUGGUGUAAAAGCAGUGAUGGGGAUCAUCUUUUAGCAAUACUUGAUCAGAAUAUUUUUACCUUUCUGAUACCACCAUUGACCCCAGCAUGAUUCUGGGAAAUUCAAUUCCAGGUGCAACUGGAGUUUCUAGUUGUAGAAGUUUUCUAGGUGUGUAUGGUAUUGGCUGGGUGGACAGGGCAAGUUCUACUUGCUGUGUUGCAAACCCUGUGUCAAAAAGCAGACAUUAGAUUAAUCCUCAACUUGGUUUUGUGUAUUCUUCAGUAAGGCUGGUGUUGCCUGAAACCACAAGGGUGCCUGAAGGGCUUCAGAGCCCUUGCCUACCUUUCUGAUCACCUCUGUUCCCAAAGAGAGCUCUAGAACAUGAGGCCUCUGCUUGAAAGAUAGAUUAGUAGGAACUGGAGAGUCAGAAAUAUAGAGUUUAGGAGUCACUUUUAAUUAUUUUUGUAGGAGUUGUAAAGUCUGUGUUUAGUUAAUUUCUAUACAUGUACAGUCAAACAUAACAUUGGUCAAGUACAUGUUCUUUCUGUUGGAUUUUUCUUAAUUCUUUGGAUGAAAACAUGUUUUUUUUUAAGAUUUAUUUAUUUAUUAUAUGUAAGCAAACCUUUAAUUGGGGCUGGCUUACAGUUUCAGAGGUUUAGUCUAUUUUCAUCAUAGCAGGAAGCAUGGCAACAUGCAGGCAGACAAGGAGUUGAGAGUUCUGCAUUUUGAUCUAAAGGCAUCCAGGAAGAGACUGUCUUUCAGGGGGCUACCAGGAGGGUCUGUAAGUACAUUGUAGCUGUCUUCAGACACUCCAGAAGAGGGAGUCAGAUCUCGUUACGGAUGGUUGUGAGCCACCAUGUGGUUGCUAGGAUUUGAACUCUGGACCUUCGGAAGAGCAGUCGGGUGCUCUUACCCACUGAGCCAUCUCACCAGCCCAGCAUGUUUAUUUUUAGGGUUAAUAUUUUUUAGUCCUUGCCUUCAUUCUUUCUCAAAUAUUGUACACAUUCUUGAUUGUUGUACCUUUGUGGUAAGAACAAAAAUCACAUUGUAUCAAAGUGUGUAUCAUUCCUUAGUAAUCUCACUGAAAAUUUUAUUGAGUUAUUUCACAUGCCAUAUAGAUUUGAUAUCAGCUCUCCUUUUAUAAAUUCUUAUGAAUUUUCUUUGGAUUUUAUUGAAUGUGUGCUGCAAAUUGAGCAUAGCAAGCAUCCUUUUUUGGGAGGGAAUACAUCAUUUUAAUAGUUUUUAUGGUAGUAUAAAAAGGUAAAAGACAUUAUUCUACAUAAUUACUUAUUUAUCAAACUACAGUAAGUGUAUAAAACUGAAAAUGAUUUUUAAAAAAGUGUACAGAGCCAUAGAAAAGGGAGCUUAGGAUAGAAUUUGGUAGCACAAAACAUGUUGUUUUCAUCACAUAAAUACCACCAAAUAUGAUUUAAUUGAAAAGACAAAAAUUGAAAAUUAAAUGUGGUUUAGAAUUGAACAAUGAAUCUGAAUGUCACAUGUAACUGCUUAUUAUCAUACAAAAACAAUUUUUUAUGGCAGACAUUGGGAUUCUCUACAGAUAUCAACUAAAAUUAGUGCAACAGUGUUGUGUGGUUAUACUUGAGGUAAAAUGGCAUGUAAAUAGUGUACAUAUCUGAUGCAUUUGAACAUAUUAUCUACAUCCAUAUAACAUCAUUACCUACCAAAAAAAAAAAACAGAACCAUGUUCUCUGUUCAUUCUUAUUCUCCUAUGAUUAUAUGUGAGUACAGUAUACAGAGUUCUCAUAAAAUGACACAAUUGCUAGGAAUCCCAGAAAUGGCCUCCAUAUAUUUUCCAUGCAUUUGGAAUUAACUUAAAGAAGUAUCAGAAUUCUAAUGCUUGUUGUAGUUAGAUUCAUGGUGGCCUAAAUUAUAAAAUAACCUAACUUCUCAUUAGUAGAUAACAAGCUGGGCGCCUCAGGAAGACACUGAGCUGAAUGAAGAAAGAUGAUAGCAAUGGAUGACAGGUGACUCAUCUUCAUUUUAUUCUGAUCAAAUAACCAGUCUUACUUAGAUGGUGGCCCUUUCAUUUUUGCUUUGGAGAACAAAUUUAGACAUUUAACAUUUUGAUGUAUCACAUUGUAUAUGUUUCACAUAAAAUUAAUGGAGCAAUGCUGUAUAACAUUACAUACGUAUUUCUAUUUUUUAUAUAGUUGUUUAAACCUCAGUUUUCCUUAAAGAGAAGCUAGACAACUCCUUUGGAAUUAAACGAGCAGGAAACUGUAAUUCACAAUCCAAAGUCGUGAGAACUAAUACAAGAAAGUGACCUGGGCUUGUUUCCUGAAUGUUACAGAUUUUACAUUGCUGAGAGCAAAACUUCUGAUUUAACAGAUGUAGACAGUUCCUAAGAAUGAGCUUGUCAUAAACUCCUGUGUGAUGCUCACCGUCUAAACAGACAGAAUGAUAACUAUCUGUCAAACUCAUUCCUUCUUAACCAUAGUAAGAAGCUUAACCAUAGUGAAUACAAUCAAAAGGUUUAUCUCCAGUACAUAUUCUUUCAUGAUGAUGAAGCCUACAGAAUUGUGCAAAGGCUUCACCAUAUACUCACAGGGUUUCUGUCUUAGCAUUUCCAUUGCUAGGAAUAGACAUCAUGGCCAAGGCAACUCUCAUAAAAGCAAACCUUUAACUGGGGCUGGCUUACAGUUUCAGAGGUUUAGUCUAUUUUCAUCAUAGCAGGAAGCAUGGCAACAUGCAGGCAGACAAGGAGUUGAGAGUUCUGCAUUUUGAUCUAAAGGCAUCCAGGAAGAGACUGUCUUUCAGGGGGCUACCAGGAGGGUCUGUUCUGCACUGAGUAGAGCUUCAAAGCCUACCACCAGACUGAUCCACUUCCUCCAACAAGGUCACACUUCUGAAUAGAGCUACUCCCUGUGACAAACAUAUUUAAACUCCCACAUUCCACUACCUGGCCCCUAUAAGCUUGUUGGAGUACAGGAAUAUAUGGGGACCAUACUUAAACAUAGCAUAAUGAAAACUACAUGAGGUCCAACUUUAAAAGUCCCCAUCAUCUAUACCAGUCUCAAAAAUGUUAAAAGUUCAAAGUUCAAAGUCUCUUCUGAGAUUCAUCCAAUCAUGUAACUAAUCCCCUAAAAAAGAAAAUCAAGAGCUAGGCAUGGUGGCGCACACCUUUAAUCCUAGCACUCGGGAGGCAGAGGCAGGCGGAUUUCUGAGUUUGAGGCCAGCCUGGUCUACAGAGUGAGUUCCAGGACAGCCAGGGCUACAGAGAAACCCUGUCUCAAAAAAACAAAAAAAAAAACAAACAAACAAAAAAAAACAACAAAAAAAAGAAAAUCAAAAAACAUAUAGUUCCAACUACACAAGAUAUACUUCACCAUUCCUAAAUGAUAUUGUGAGGAAAUACUGGACCAAAACAAGACCAAAAGCCAGCUGGGAAAUCUCCAAAUUCUACAUCUCCAUAUCUUAUGUUAAAGCAUUCUUCAGAUCUACAAGUCCUUUCUGCUUUGUUCACUGCAGUACAAUUUUUUCUCUUUGGCUGGUUUUAUUCCUUGAAAGCAGUUUUCCUGAGCAGGACUCCACAGUUCUGGCAUCACAAAGAUCUUGGGGUCUCUGAGGCAAUCUCAGUGUUACAGUUUCUUGUUCCAGGGUCUAGGAUCCACACAUGAUCUUCUGCGUUCCUCCAAAGAGAUCGGGCCACUUCUCCAGCUCUGCCCUCUGUAUCACUCUAAGCUCUGGUUGACUCCACUCUACUUCUGCUGCUGUUCGUCCUGCUCAUCCCAUGGGACUGGCAUCUUCAAAAUGCUGGGUUCUUCUGUUGCAACUAGGCUUCACUGAUAGCCUCAUUUAUGCUCCCUUCAUGGUGCCAAGCCUCUGCAGGACACCUUCAUGCCUUCAAAACCAGUACCACCUGGGUGAUUCUUACAUGUGACCAAGUUCAGCUGCAACACAAGGUACAAUGUGGCUAUCUCUGGAACACAGCUUCUUUGUCCUCUCAGAAAACACUUCCUAGAAGAUUUCAUCUCAGUGAUGCUGGUCUCUUCUUCAUCACUUCUAAUCUCUUAGCUACAGCUAACAAGCAUCAAUUUUUCCAGUAGCCCCUUCUAUUUUUGCUUCUAAAGCCAGAGCCACAUGGACAAAGCUGCUGGGUUCUGCUGCUUGCUGGGCCUGGGACAUGGCCCCUUCUAUUACAUUAUCACCAGUUUUCUCUUCUCCAACUCCUUUACUGCCUCAGCUUGGCUGUCCUGAACUCAGAGAUCUGGAGGCUCUGUAUCCACAGGCCUAGACCUAAGCUUUUCUUCAUCUGCAACUUGUUCUGUAUCAGGAUGGACUUGAACUCAGAUGCUUGAUGCUCAUCUCCUAGGGUUUAAAGGCAUGUACCACCAUGCCUGGACCUAUGCUUUCCAUUUUAUAUCUUAUAUUGAAAACCAAGAGUAGCAAUCACAAUCCAUUCCUUGUCAAUUUUAAACAUACUUGUAUCUCCUUAUGUCAAUAUGUAAACAAUAACCAGGUUUCUUUCCUCUGUGUUCUUUUAUGUUGCUGUAGAUGACUGUGACUUUUAAAUGCUUUACCACAUUGAUUACAUUCAUAAGGUUUCUGUCCAGUAUAUGUUCUUUUAUGUCUUUGGAGAUUAGUCUUACAUCCAAAGUCUUUACAACAUUGAUUGCAUUCUAAUGUUUCUUUCUAAAAUGUGUUCUUUUAUGAUAUUGGAGACUAGUGUGAUGUGCAAAGGCUUUACCACAUUGAUUACAUUGAUAAGGUUUCUCUCUAGUAUGUAUUCUUUUAUGUAUUUGAAGACUAUAGUGUGCUGCAAAGGCUUUACCACAUUGAUUACACUCAUAAGGUUUCUCUCCAGUAUGUGUUCUUUUAUGAUAUUGAAGACUACUAUUUUGUGAAAAGGCUUUACCACAUUGAUUACAUUGAUAAGGUUUCUCUCCAGUAUGUAUUCUUUUAUGAUAUUGGAGACUAUACUGAAAUGCAAAGGUUUUACCACAUUGAUUACAUUCAUAACAUUUUUCUCCAGUAUGUGUUCUUUUAUGAUGUUGGAGACUAUACUGAACUGCAAAGGCCUUACCACAUUGAUUACAUUCAUAAGGUUUCUCUCCAGUAUGUGUUCUUUUAUGAUACUGGAGAUUACUGUGAUAUGCAAAGGCUCUACCACACUGAUUACAUUCAUAAGGUUUCUCUCCAGAAUGUGUUCUUUUAUGUGUUUGGAGUUGACUGGGUCUUACAAAAGCUUUACCACAUUGAUUACAUUCACAAGUUUUCUCUCCAGUAUGUGUUCUUUUAUGAUAUUGGAGACUACUCUUUUGUGAAAAGGCUUUACCACAUUGAUUACAUUCAUAGGGUUUCUCUCCAGAAUGUGUUCUUUUAUGUGUUUGGAGUUGACUGGGUCUUACAAAAGCUUUACCACAUUGAUUACAUUCACAAGUUUUCUCUCCAGUAUGUGUUCUUUUAUGAUAUUGGAGACUACUCUGUCGUGAAAAGGUUUUACCACAUUGAUUACAUUCAUAGGGUUUCUCUCCAGAAUGUGUUCUUUUAUGUGUUUGGAGUUGACUGGGUCUUACAAAAGCUUUACCACAUUGAUUACAUUCAUAAGUUUUCUCUCCAGUAUGUGUUCUUUUAUGAUAUUGGAGAUUACUCUGUCGUGAAAAGGCUUUACCACAUUGAUUACAUUCAUAAGGUUUCUGUCCGGUAUGUGUUCUCUUAUGUAUUUGGAGAUGAUUGUAACAUGCAAAGGCUUUACCACAUUGAUUACGUUCAUAGGGUUUCUCUCCAAUAUGACUUCUUUCAUGCCUGCAACGAUAAUUGGCACAUGUGAAAGUUUUACCAUAUUCAAACAUUUUAACAGUCUAUAUGAAUUUUAUAAUUUGGUCUAAUGGUAAAGAUGAAUCAGAUAUUAAGGUUUUAUCACUUUGUUUAUAUUCAUGGUGUUCCCCCUCAUUAUGGGUUGUUUUACACCUUUGAAGAUAU
rnacentral:lncRNA from 1 species